GGAUUAGAUACCCUGGUAGUCCACGCCGUAAACGGUGGGUGCUAGGUGUGAGCGGUAUUCCACGCCGUUCGUGCCGCAGCUAACGCAUUAAGCACCCCGCCUGGGGAGUACGGCCGCAAGGCUAAAACUCAAAGGAAUUGACGGGGGCCCGCACAAGCAGCGGAGCAUGUGGCUUAAUUCGACGCAACGCGAAGAACCUUACCAAGGCUUGACAUACACCGAAAAACUCGCAGAGAUGUGGGGUCCGCAAGGGCGGUGUACAGGUGGUGCAUGGUUGUCGUCAGCUCGUGUCGUGAGAUGUUGGGUUAAGUCCCGCAACGAGCGCAACCCUCGUUCUAUGUUGCCAGCGUGUGAUGGCGGGGACUCAUAGGAGACUGCCGGGGUCAACUCGG
rnacentral:rRNA from 1 species